rnacentral:rRNA from 1 species
UACAGAGGUCUCAAGCGUUGUUCGGAUUCAUUGGGCGUAAAGGGUGCGUAGGCGGCUCGGUAAGUCGGGUGUGAAAUCUCGGAGCUUAACUCCGAAACUGCAUUCGAUACUGCUGUGCUUGAGGACUGGAGAGGAGACUGGAAUUUACGGUGUAGCGGUGAAAUGCGUAGAUAUCGUAAGGAAGACCAGUGGCGAAGGCGGGUCUCUGGACAGUUACUGACGCUGAGGCACGAAGGUCAGGGGAGCAAACGGG